AGUUGGCUGCUGUGAGGACAAGGAAGAGUCAGUGCCAGAGGAGCUGCCUAUGAGAAACAUUGAGGAGUGAAAGAGAUUCCACAUCCUUUCUGGACAACCUGUUCCAGUGUUUGGUCACUGCAUAGUGAAGAGUUUUUCCUCAUGUUCUGGUGGAACUUCGGGGCAUCAGUUCCUGCCCACUGCCUGGCACCACUGAGCAGAGCCUGGCUCCAUCCUCCUGACACCCUGCCUUCAGAUUCUGAAAUCCUGUGACUAGUUUAAAUUUCCAUUUCCCUGGCAUUGUAUCUAUGUGUGUAGUGAAACAAAGGAAGUCUUGACUAACACACUGAAAGCAUUAAGCAUUUGAAGCUGCCCUGCUAGACAAAUACAACAGCAGCACAGUGUACCACAUGAAACUGAAUCAACCACCUGGAAGAGAAGGAGAGAGGAGCACAGUCUUUGAAACCAUUUUGUCAGCAAAAUAGUCUUCUUUAGUCUGACUGAAAAGAUAAGGAAUGACAUGAAAGUGGAGAAAUUAGAAUAUGCAG